AGAGUUUGAUCCUGGCUCAGGAUGAACGCUAGCUACAGGCUUAACACAUGCAAGUCGAGGGGAAACGACAUCGAAAGCUUGCUUUUGAUGGGCGUCGACCGGCGCACGGGUGAGUAACGCGUAUCCAACCUGCCCAUCACUUGGGGAUAACCUUGCGAAAGUAAGACUAAUACCCAAUGACGUCUCUAGAAGACAUCUGAAAGAGAUUAAAGAUUUAUCGGUGAUGGAUGGGGAUGCGUCUGAUUAGCUUGUUGGCGGGGUAACGGCCCACCAAGGCGACGAUCAGUAGGGGUUCUGAGAGGAAGGUCCCCCACAUUGGAACUGAGACACGGUCCAAACUCCUACGGGAGGCAGCAGUGAGGAAUAUUGGUCAAUGGGCGAGAGCCUGAACCAGCCAAGUAGCGUGCAGGAUGACGGCCCUAUGGGUUGUAAACUGCUUUUAUAAGGGAAUAAAGUGAGUCUCGUGAGACUUUUUGCAUGUACCUUAUGAAUAAGGACCGGCUAAUUCCGUGCCAGCAGCCGCGGUAAUACGGAAGGUCCGGGCGUUAUCCGGAUUUAUUGGGUUUAAAGGGAGCGUAGGCCGGAGAUUAAGCGUGUUGUGAAAUGUAGACGCUCAACGCCUGCACUGCAGCGCGAACUGGUUUCCUUGAGUACGCACAAAGUGGGCGGAAUUCGUGGUGUAGCGGUGAAAUGCUUAGAUAUCACGAAGAACUCCGAUUGCGAAGGCAGCUCACUGGAGCGCAACUGACGCUGAAGCUCGAAAGUGCGGGUAUCGAACAGGAUUAGAUACCCUGGUAGUCCGCACGGUAAACGAUGGAUGCCCGCUGUUGGUCUGAAUAGGUCAGCGGCCAAGCGAAAGCAUUAAGCAUCCCACCUGGGGAGUACGCCGGCAACGGUGAA
rnacentral:rRNA from 1 species